rnacentral:ncRNA from 1 species
ACUUGCAUGCUUCAAAAAUGUGGCAAGGUUAAAUGUUCUGUAAAAAAAAUGCUGCAUAAUGUUUUUGGUUUGUUAACAUUGAUAGGUCAGAAAACAAUACGACAGUAGCUUUACGCAGCGUUUACUUUGAAAAAAUUAGAGUGUUCAAAGCAGGCCCCCGUCGCCUGAAUACCGCAGCUAGGAAUAAUGGAAUAGGACUCCGGUUCUAUUCCAUUAUUCUGUUAUAUAGCUAUCGACUAUAUGUUUGACCAA